rnacentral:rRNA from 1 species
UACGUAGGGUGCGAGCGUUAAUCGGAAUACUGGGCGUAAAGCGUGCGCAGGCGGUGAUGUAAGACAGUUGUGAAAUCCCCGGGCUCAACCUGGGAACUGCAUCUGUGACUGCAUCGCUGGAGUGCGGCAGAGGGGGAUGGAAUUCCGCGUGUAGCAGUGAAAUGCGUAGAUAUGCGGAGGAACACCGAUGGCGAAGGCAAUCCCCUGGGCCUGCACUGACGCUCAUGCACGAAAGCGUGGGAGC